UCAAUGUCCUAUCACAGCAUUUCAAUGUGGUUUAAGAGUGGGCUUAUGUUAGGCCAUUUCAAAACUUUAAUUUUCUUGCUGUGGAUCAUUAAGAUGAAAGACUUUCACACCUGUUCAGUUUUAGAUAAUUGAAACCUUAAAAGGGGGACAUGAAUUGCAUUUUUUUAUUAUUAUUUUAUAAUGUUAUCUGUGAUGCACCAAUAAUGUUUGCAAGAUUUGUACAUCAAAAACAUCACAAUUUAGAUAUAAUAGGCUAUUUUGUAUCCGUGUUUUGACCCUCUCUGCAGAACAAUGUUUUUAUAGAUGGGGAACAUACAAGAUGCUGAAGUGAACGACCACUACUAUGAUUGGCUAACAGUUUUGCAUAUUAAUAAAAUACAAUAUUUAUUUGUAAAGAACAUUUAAAAAAACACAACUGAAGUUGACCAAAGUGCUGUACAGAAUAGAAUAAAAAAAUCAGAAAUAAGAUGAAGAAAACAUCAAAUUUAAAACACAACAAUUNCUACAUUUACUUAUUAAAAAUACAGUAAACACUGUAAUAUUGUCAGUUGAAACGAUCUAUUUGAAUGUUUUAACAUAUAGGCUACUGUGUUCCUGUAAUCAAAGCUGAUUUUUCAGCAUCAUUACUCCAGUCUUCAGUGUCACAUGAUCCUUCAGAUAUCAUACGAAUAUGCUGAUUUGCUGCUCAAUAAUCAUUUCUGAUUAUUGUCAAUGUUGUAAACAUUUGUGCUGCUUAAUAUUUUUGAAAAUUUUUCUUUGUGUCAGAGUGCUGGGGUUCAUCAGAAAUAGAACGGGGAAUCAGUUUGUUGUCAUGGAUUUGUUGUUGCAUCGCGCCGCAUCCACAGCAGAAAACAUCACUGAGUUCUAUUUGCUUUUGUCAAAUAAUAUUUGUAUAUUUAAAUGUUCAACUGUUUAAACUUGAACUAGAGCUCUUCGUUACAAACAAUGUUGGAUAAUCUUUAAAUGUUUUGUGAUGCAAUGCACAUUGAAUUGAUUCCAGCUUCAUCUUCUCUUCUGCAGGUUUUUGGGUCCUGCUGCAGAUGAAGGCUGUCAGUAUGUGACUGGAAUUGUGGGUAAAAACCCAUUACUCCUGAGAGAGCUGAAUCUCACUAGACAUAAACUAGGAAACACAGAAGUGAAUCAGAUCUCUGCUCUACUGCAGGAUAAACACUGUACACUCAACACACUGAAGUGAGUAUCUUACAUCAUUUCACAUGUUACAUGACUAGUAAUGUUACAGUCAUCUAUUUUAAUUCUCAUUUGAGUCUGACUCCACGUUAUAAAGCUUGGAAGAGCCAGGAGAUUUUUUAAUAUAAAUCUGAUUAUAUUUGUCUGAAAGAAGAAAUUCAUAUACAUCUAGGANUCUAAAAAAUGCAUUAUAAUGAAUUAUAGCGAAUUAUAAAAAAAAAAUAAAAAAAAAAAUAAAUAAAAACCUGACA
ensembl:lncRNA